GACGAACGCUGGCGGCGCGCCUAACACAUGCAAGUCGAACGAGCGAGAGAGAGCUUGCUUUCUCGAGCGAGUGGCGAACGGGUGAGUAACGCGUGAGGAACCUGCCUCAAAGAGGGGGACAACAGUUGGAAACGACUGCUAAUACCGCAUAAGCCCACGACCCGGCAUCGGGUAGAGGGAAAAGGAGCGAUCCGCGUUGAGAUGGCCUCGCGUCCGAUUAGCUAGUUGGUGAGGUAACGGCCCACCAAGGCGACGAUCGGUAGCCGGACGGAGGGGGUGACAGGCCACAGUGGGACUGAGACACGGCCCAGACUCCUACGGGAGGCAGCAGUGGGGAAUAUUGCACAAUGGGGGAAACUCUGAUGCAGCGACGUCGGGGGGAGGAAGAAGGUCGUCGGAUUGUAAACUCCUGUUGUAGAGGAAGAUAAUGACGGUACUCAAUAAGGAAGUGACGGCUAACUACGUG
rnacentral:rRNA from 1 species